CGGGUGAGUAAUGUAUCGGAACGUGCCCAGUAGCGGGGGAUAACUACGCGAAAGCGUAGCUAAUACCGCAUACUAUUGGAGCGGCCGAUAUCGGAUUAGCUAGUUGGUGGGGUAACGGCUCACCAAGGCGACGAUCCGUAGCUGGUUUGAGAGGACGACCAGCCACACUGGGACUGAGACACGGCCCAGACUCCUACGGGAGGCAGCAGUGGGGAAUUUUGGACAAUGGGGGAAACCCUGAUCCAGCCAUCCCGCGUGUGCGAUGAAGGCCUUCGGGUUGUAAAGCACUUUUGGCAGGAAAGCGGUACCUGCAGAAUAAGCACCGGCUAACUACGUGCCAGCAGCCGCGGUAAUACGUAGGGUGCAAGCGUUAAUCGGAAUUACUGGGCGUAAGGCGUGCGCAGGCGGUUCGGAAAGAAAGAUGUGAAAUCCCAGAGCUUAACUUUGGAACUGCAUUUUUAACUACCGGGCUAGAGUGUGUCAGAGGGAGGUGGAAUUCCGCGUGUAGCAGUGAAAUGCGUAGAUAUGCGGAGGAACACCGAUGGCGAA
rnacentral:rRNA from 1 species